CCUACGGGUGGCAGCAGUGAGGAAUAUUGGUCAAUGGGCGCGAGCCUGAACCAGCCAAGUAGCGUGAAGGAUGACUGCCCUACGGGUUGUAAACUUCUUUUAUAAAGGAAUAAAGUGAGGCACGUGUGCCGUUUUGAAUGUACUUUAUGAAUAAGGAUCGGCUAACUCCGUGCCAGCAGCCGCGGUAAUACGGAGGAUCCGAGCGUUAUCCGGAUUUAUUGGGGUUAAAGGGAGCGUAGAUGGGUUGUUAAGUCCGUUGUGAAAGUUUGCGGCUCAACCGGAAAAUUGCAAUUGAUACGGGCAGCCUUGAGUUCAGUUGAGGUAGGCGGAAUUCGUGGUGUAGCGGUGACAUGCUUAGAUAUCACGAAGAACUCCGAUUGCGAAGGCAGCUUCCUAACCUGCCACUGACAUUGCUGCUCGAAAGUGUGGGUAUCAAACAGGAUUAGCUACCCUGGUAGUC
rnacentral:rRNA from 1 species